GUUUAAUCCAAUUUGUCUUUGAUCCAUUUCUUUUGAGCUUUGUGCAGAUCAAAGUCAGAUGACAUUGCCUUCUACUGGCAAAUGUGUGAGUACUUAGUACUAGUCUAAAAUGUUUUUCAGGCUGUUAUAUUCUGCUUCUACUCAAAACCAACUAUCUUUUUAGAUGAAGAUGUGAUUCCCCAUUUUUUAAGACAGUUGGCAACAAUAAUAUUGCAGCAUGGCCUCUUCAUUGAUUCCAGCCUUUGAGCAAAUAUGCCCCAAUCUACAGCUAAGUCUCAAGCUAACAAGGAUAAAAGUAUGACAACUACCAGAGUUUCCCCACCUCCUUCCCAGGAGCCAGAGGAAAUGGUUCGUCGUCGGUUGUUACGGUGCCAUUGGAUGAACAUGUUGAACCAAGAGGAAGCAAAUGAGAAAGUAGGGGCGAUUGUGAAUGAGCUGGUUAGCAGGGUCAUGGACGGCUGUUUAAAAGUCUUCAUUCAGUCACAGCUUGCACCACAUUCUGCAUCUUGGGCGAA